GUCAAUUAUGCCAAUAUCUGUCUCCCAUUUUAUCACUCAAUUGAGCACAGUUAACUGGGGAUCAAGCUGGGGAUGGUAUUAUCUCACGCUAUGCCAUCAUUGAAGAGGAUCCAGCUGAGAUGUUUUACUGAAUUGAUUGAUCGGAGAAUCAGAUAUAUAUGCCUAGUCAUGACUAAUGAGGAGCUAACUGGCAUGCUUUUGUCUGCACCUGCUUUCUAGGUAUGGCAUCGAACAGGGCAAAUCAGUUCUGGCAGAGGAACAACACUUGCCAUACUAAGCAAACAUUUUCUUACCGUGCUCUCCACGGAUUAGCUUGAGAAGCAAUCAGAUUGAGGCCACGACUGGUAGAUUUUACGUUGUGCUCAUUGGGGUGAUGGUUGGGCAGAUCCAGUUGGUGCUGUGAGGGUCAGGUCGUGGGCAAAAGGCAGGUAGACAUAUAUAAGAGGUUAGUGACCAAGUUGUUCGCAACUUUCAGUUUUUUUACGGUAUCACAUUCCCACUCCUGAGCCUUUUAUAGAGACAUGCUUCCUUUGAGCACUUAAUUGACCAGGGUCUCAUUGAACAGUACGUUUCUAAAUAUAUAUUGUAUGGUACUGCUCAUAUCAGCCCUUUGGCAAUGCUGUCAGUAUGAAUUGUUAAUUUCGGGUCAGUGUUUUGGCGGUGAUACUUUUUACGAAUGUUGUAAUUAGAACUAUUAGUCUGUUAUAAGUGUAUCAUUGAAGUUCUUCAGAUAACAAAACUUGUUUGUACAAUUUUUUGUAAGGUACAAACAAGCAAAUUUUUCCCAUACACAUAGCUGACAUCUCCACUAAGGGAAACAGUUCUCUACCAUGCGAUGGACACAUCGCCAUUCAAUAGAUCCACCAACCUGUGGAAAUGUUAAGAAUGCUGAUGCAGUUAUUAUCACUAUCCAGUCUCACUGUAGCCUCUA